rnacentral:rRNA from 1 species
GACGAACGCUGGCGGCGUGCCUAAUACAUGCAAGUAGAACGCAGUUGCGAACGGGUGAAUAACGCGUAGGUAACUGCCUCAUAGCGGGGGAUAACUCUUGGAAACGAUAGCUAAUACCGCAUACUUUGAGAUGGACGUGCGUUGUAUUAGCUAGUUGGUGAGGUAAAGGCCCACCAAGGCGACGAUACAUAGCCGACCUGAGAGGGUGAUCUGCCCCACUGUGACUGAGCAACGGCCCAGACGCCCACGGGAGGCAGCAGUAGGGAUUCUUCGGGAAUGGACGGAAGUCUGACCGAGCAACGCCGCGUGAGUGAAGAAGGUUUUCGGGUCGUAAAGCUCUGUUGUUAGAGAAGCGGUAACUACCCAGAAAGGGACGGCUAACUACGUGCCAGCAGCCGCGGUAAUUC